rnacentral:rRNA from 1 species
UACGUAGGGUCCGAGCGUUGUCCGGAAUUAUUGGGCGUAAAGGGCUCGUAGGCGGUCCGUCACGUCGGGAGUGAAAACUCAGGGCUCAACCCUGAGCGUGCUUCCGAUACGGGCGGACUAGAGGUAUGCAGGGGAGAACGGAAUUCCUGGUGUAGCGGUGGAAUGCGUAGAUAUCAAGUGGAACACCAGUGGCGAAGGCGAAUCCCUGGAAAAUACCUGACACUGAGGCACGAAAGCUAGGGGAGCAAACAGG